GUUUGAACAAGUCAGAAAUUGCUGUUGACGAGUAGCAAACCACACGCGCACGCGCCGUAUCUCCUGGCGCUGACACGAACGCCGCACGUGCUUACGAGCGAGCGCGGGAGCAAACUAAUCUCGAAGCGGUGGGGAUGCUGGAUCACGGACCGGCCCGAACUCCACCCGAAUAUCUCCGAAACUCCGAGAUAAGGUAUACAGUCAGUUUGAUAAGAGCAUGUGCGGCAAAACGUUUUCCUGGAAACCGUUAAAGGAGUGAUUCAAACGCGAUCAGAUAAAGGAAUGCCUCCCCCAAGAUGCUUUGAAAAGAAAACCUCAAUUGUCGUUUAAUCUUGGUCACAGAAUGACAUAUUUUAUCAUGAGUGCCACGUAUGCAUCACGUUACGAAGAUGUAUUUUUAAGUUUGAAUCCGAAAAGACCAAAAAUGUCAUACGGACCGGCUGCAAAAUACAUGAAAAAGUCAAAGACAUUUGUAAGUAAGUGGGUGAAACAUUAUUUCGAUGUGAAAAACGUCGAUAACCUGCCAGAUCGUGGUUCCGCUUAAGUAGUAACAACGAAAAAGGAGGACAAAGUGAUUUUAUGGAUAUUAAAGAAGAAUCUUAGUCUAUCAUUGGGUGGAAGGCAAACGAUUUUGCGUAAAAAGGGUCUAAAUGUGUCAUGUGACACUAUAAGAAGACAUUUAUUGGCCCAUGAAGUAAAAUUUCGAAGCAUUGAAGAAAUCGCUAAUGUCUAAAAAAACACGUCGAAAAAAGACUCAUUUGGGCGAAAGACAAUUUGGAUCGCAAUUGGAGUCAGACUGUAAAAGGAGCGAGAUCAGCCGGAGAGAUCGCUUUUCCUGAUCCAGAAAGCCUCCGAACCAGAACCUAGAGAACGAGCAAAAGUAAAGAGAUCUUUUGCUUCGACCAAGCGCUUUCGGUCUUGUCUCAUCUCAUCUGAAUACUCCGAUUAUAAGCUAAAUCUCUAAAUAGUUCCUAAUAAACAAUUAAUUGUUACUUUA